GCCCUGAGCUCAUUUGGUAGAACAUGAGACUCUUAAUCUCUGGGUCGUGGGUUUGAGCCCCACAUUGGGUU